GUUUUAAUAGUUUAAUAAAAACAGUGGUCUUGUAAAUCAAAAAUAAGAAUUUGUUCUUUUAAAACU
rnacentral:tRNA from 1 species